rnacentral:tRNA from 1 species
GCCCGGCUGGCUGUGUCGGUGGAGCGUCAGACUUUUGACCUCAGGGUUGUGAGUUCGAGCCUCACGUUGGGUG